AGACAACAAAAUGUUUAAUAUUAUUAUUUUGUCACCUUAGGUCGAUCGGUAUCUCACUUUCUUAGUUUGUUAAGAAUUUCAUUUCCUAAGUUUUUCUAGGUCACACCCAUUAUUUUUCCUGGGCCAUUAGCUCAGGUGGUUAGAGCGCACCCCUGAUAAGGGUGAGGUCCCUGGUUCAAGUCCAGGAUGGCCCAUAUCUCUAUGUUGGGGGUAUAGCUCAGUUGGUAGAGCGCCUGCUUUGCAAGCAGGAUGUCAGCGGUUCGAGUCCGCUUACCUCCACUGAUUACCACCUCUUCCAUAACCGGUAUAAAGGAAAUUUUUUGAGUUGUGAUCAUUAUUCUGAACGAAUCUAGCUUCCUAAUUAAAUCAUUAAGAUGCUGGACUCAUUGAAUUAAUUUCAUUGUUUUCAGAGAACCUUGACAACUGCAUAGAUUAUUUUUAAAGACAAUAAGCAUCUUUAAUGAUGCAGAUUUAUUAUUUGUGCGAAUGCAUUAAUAACAAUUCUAUUAAGCUGAUGCUUCAAUUUUUGAAGUUAUU
rnacentral:tRNA from 1 species